rnacentral:rRNA from 1 species
GAGAGGUGCUGCAUGGCUGUCGUCAGCUCGUGUUGUGAAAUGUUGGGUUAAGUCUCGCAACGAGCGCAACCCCUAUCGUCUGUUGCCAGCAUUAAGUUGGGCACUCUGACGAGACUGCCUGGGUUAACCAGGAGGAAGGUGGGGAUGACGUCAAGUCCUCAUGGCCCUUAUGUCUAGGGCUACACACGUAAUACAAUGGCGCGUACAAAGGGAAGCGAACUCGCGAGAGGGAGCAAAUCUCAAAAAGCGCGCCUCAGUUCGGAUUGAAGUCUGCAACUCGACUUCAUGAAGUUGGAAUCGCUAGUA